GGCCGGCUAGGGUUUCCACACGGUCGGUUGCAUGGGAGACUAUGGCGUCUUCCUCUGUCCCACCGGCCACCGUACCGGCGGCGACAGUGGGCCCCGGCACAGGUUUCGGCUUCGCCUCCAAAACCAAGAAGAAGCAUUUCGUGCAGCAGAAGGUGAAGGUGUUGUGGGUGGCCCACCCACUGGUGGGUGUGUUCCUGUGGGGCGUAGCCCACUGGAUCAAUGAGCUCAGCCAGGUGCCUCCCCAGGUGAUGCUGCUGCCAGAUGACUUUAAGGCCAGCUCCAAGAUCAAGGUCAACAAUCACCUUUUCCACAGGGAAAAUCUGCCCAGUCACUUCAAGUUCAAGGAGUAUUGUCCCCAGGUCUUCAGGAAUCUCCGUGAUCGAUUUGGCAGUGAUGACCAAGGUUACCUGGUGUCCCUUACCCGAAACCCCCCCGCAAAAGUGAAGGCAAUGAUGGUCGCUUCCUAAUUUCCUACAAUCAGACUCUGGUCAUCAAAGAAGUAUCCAGUGAAGACAUUGCUGACAUGCAUAGCAACCUCUCCAACUAUCACCAGUACAUUGUGAAGUGCCAUGGCAACACACUUCUGCCCCAGUUCCUGGGGAUGUACCGAGUCAGUGUGGACAAUGAAGACAGCUAAGUGCUUGUGAUGCGCAAUAUGUUUAGCCACCGUCUUCCAGUGCACAGGAAGUAUGACCUCAAGGGUUCCCUAGUGUCCCGGGAAGCCAGCGACAAGGAAAAGGUUAAAGAAUUGCCCACGCUUAAGGAUAUUGACUUUCUCAGCAAGAACCAGAAAGUAUAUAUUGGUGAAGAGGAGAAGAAAAUAUUUCUGGAGAAGCUAAAGAGAGAUGUGGAGUUUCUAGUGCAGCUGAAGAUCAUGGACUACAGCCUUCUGCUGGGCAUCCAGGACAUCAUUCGGGGCUCUGCACCAGAGGAGGAUGAGUCAGAGGUGGAUGGGGACUGCAGUCUCACUGGACCUCCUGCUCUGGUGGGCUCCUAUGGCACCUCCCCAGAGGGUAUUGGAGGCUACAUCCAUUCCCAUCGGCCCCUGGACCCAGAAGAGUUUGAGUCUCAUUGAUGUCUACGCCAUCCGGAGUGCUGAAGGAGCCCCCCAGAAGGAGGUCUACUUCAUGGGCCUCAUUGACAUCCUUACACAGUAUGAUGCCAAGAAGAAAGCAGCUCAUGCAGCUAAAACUGUCAAGCAUGGGGCUGGGGCAGAGACCUCUACUGUCCAUCCAGAGCAGUAUGCUAAGCGAUUUCUGGAUUUUAUUACCAACAUCUUUGCCUAAGA